rnacentral:pre_miRNA from 1 species
ACCUUUCUCAUGUUGUCUACUGUGUCUAUCGAAAUCAGUGGACAACAAGAUAAAGGCGU